GACGAAGGUGGCGAGCGUUGUUCGGAAUUCACUGGGCAUAAAGCGCACGUAGGCGGCGACGUAAGUUGGGUGUGAAAUCCCUCGGCCCAACCGAGAACUGCGCCCAGUACUGCGUUGCUUGAGGAUCCAAGGGGUGCAUGGAAUUCCCGGUGGAGCGGUGAAAUGCGUUGAUAUCGGGAGGAACUCCGGCGGCGAAAGCGGUGCACUGGUGGAUUACUGACGCUGA
rnacentral:rRNA from 1 species